CAGGAACUGCUGGCAGAACCACCUGGCCCUCCACGGAGGCUCAGCAUGGAAAAGAGAAGCGACAGGAAUGCAGUCCAUGAAUCACCUUUCAACCAAAGACUAAGAGGCUUCAGCAUUAAGGAGCCAAGAAUAUGAUGGCACAUCAGCAAAAUAAGAUGUCACCUAGCCCAAUUUAGAUGUCACCUAAUCCAAUCCCCAAUUUUCCAGAGAGGGUAUUACCUUAGGUCACACAGCUGUUAGUGGCAGAGUCAGAUCUCCUGGCCGGUAGAUUAGAAAACACCUUGAAUGUUUCAAAGGUCUCAGUGAUAACAGCUCACCAUUCAUAGUCAGGAUCGAGUAAGGUGUUUUAGGAACCUGAGAUUCCUUUCUGUUCCACAUGUGGCUGAUGCUCUGUCCCAAGGUCCCUAAAUGACCUUUAUGUUUUCCAACGCUUUCGUCUCUCAAAGCAAGCCCUUCUUUGAUUUCCUCUUAGGCACUUGUGUCAUAUUUCCUUCCAUUUCCCAGUCUAUUUUAAAACUUUCCUAAUGUAACCAAGUGAAUUUCUGUCUGCAUUUG